rnacentral:rRNA from 1 species
AGUGAACGCUGGCGGUAGGCCUAACACAUGCAAGUCGAACGGCAGCACAGUAAGAGCUUGCUCUUACGGGUGGCGAGUGGCGGACGGGUGAGGAAUACAUCGGAAUCUACUUUUUCGUGGGGGAUAACGUAGGGAAACUUACGCUAAUACCGCAUACGACCUACGGGUGAAAGCAGGGGAUCUUCGGACCUUGCGCGAUUGAAUGAGCCGUUGUCGGAUUAGCUAGUUGGCGGGGUAAAGGCCCACCAAGCCGAUGAUCCGUAGCUGGUCUGAGAGGAUGAGCAGGCACACGGGAACGGAGAGACGGUCCAGACUCCUAGGGAAGGCAGCAGUGGGGAAGAUUGGACAAUGGGCGAAAGCCUGAACCAGCAAUGCCGCGUGUGGGAAGAAGGUCUUCGGAUUGUAAAGCACUUUAAGUUGGGAGGAAGGGCAGUAAGGUAAUACCUUGCUGUUUGGACGUUACCAAAAGAAUAAGCACCGGCUAACUUCGUG